GAUGAACGCUGACAGAAUGCUUAACACAUCAGCAAUUGAUUGGUGGCGGACGGGUGAGUAACGCGUAAAGAACUUGCCUCACAGGUAGGGACAACAUUUGGAAACGAAUGCUAAUACCUAAUCCUGUGAGAGAGCUUUGCGUCCCAUUAGCUAGUUGGAGAGGUAACGGCUCACCAAGGCGAGGAUGGGUAGCCGGCCUGAGAGGGUGAUCGGCCACAAGGGCACUGGGGCACUGCCCUUACUCCUUCUGGAGGCAGCAGCGGGGAAUAGUGGACAAUGGACCAAAGUCUGAUGCAGCAAUUCUGGGUGCACGAUGAAGCUUUCGGAAUGUAAAGUGUGUUCAGUUGAGAAGCGGUACCAACAGAAGAAGUGACGGCUAAAUACGUGCCAGCAGCCGCGGUAAUUC
rnacentral:rRNA from 1 species